GCUCACGCCGAGUAGGUAGGUGUGAGAAAAGGUCUACUGCUUGGGGAGGGGGCUGCGGCCCAUCAGGUAGUUGGUGAGGUAACGGCUCACCAAGCCGACGACGGGUAGGGGGUCUGAGAGGAUGGCCCCCCACACUGGGACUGAGACACGGCCCAGACUCCUACGGGAGGCAGCAGUGAGGGAUAUUGCGCAAUGGGGAAACCCUGACGCAGCGACGCCGCGUGGGUGAUGAAGGCCUUCGGGUCGUAAAACCCUUUUGCCACUGACGAGGAAGGACGGUAGGUGGCGAAUAAGCCUCGGCUAACUACGUG
rnacentral:rRNA from 1 species